rnacentral:piRNA from 1 species
UGAAGGCAAGAGGAAUUGUUAGUGGU